rnacentral:rRNA from 1 species
GACGAACGCUGGCGGCGUGCUUAACACAUGCAAGUCGAACGGAAAGGCCUGCUUUCCCUUGUGGAUUGCGGGUACUCGAGUGGCGAACGGGUGAGUAACACGUGAGUGAUCUGCCCCCAACUUGGGUAUAAGCCUGGGAAACUGGGUCUAAUUCCCGAUAGGACUGCAGGGUGGUGCCUGUGGUGGAAAACGAUUUUCUAGUGGUUGGGGAUGAGCUCGCGGCCUAUCAGCUUGUUGGUGGGGUAAUGGCCUACCAAGGCGGCGACGGGUAGCCGGCCUGGGAGGGUGGACGGCCACGUUGGGACUGAGAUACGGCCCAGACUCCUACGGGAGGCAGCAGUGGGGAAUAUUGCACGAUGGGCGGAAGCCUGAUGCAGCGACGCCGCGUGGGGGACGACGGCCUUCGGGUUGUGAACUCCUUUCGACCGCGAGGAAGCCACCUGGUUGGAAGGGUGGUGACGGUAGUGGUAGAAGAAGCACCGGCUAACUACGUG